rnacentral:rRNA from 1 species
GAUGAACGCUAGCUACAGGCUUAACACAUGCAAGUCGAGGGGAAACGGCAUUGAGUUCUUGCACUCUUUGGACGUCGACCGGCGCACGGGUGAGUAACGCGUAUCCAACCUUCCCAUUACUGUGGGAUAACCUGCCGAAAGGCAGACUAAUACCGCAUCGUCUUCGAUGACGGCAUCGGAUAUGUAGUAAAGAUGUAUCGGUAAUGGAUGGGGAUGCGUCUGAUUAGCUUGUUGUCGGGGUAACGGCCCACCAAGGCUACGAUCAGUAGGGGUUCUGAGAGGAAGGUCCCCCACAUUGGAACUGAGACACGGUCCAAACUCCUACGGGAGGCAGCAGUGAGGAAUAUUGGUCAAUGGACGGAAGUCUGAACCAGCCAAGUAGCGUGCAGGAUGACGGCCCUAUGGGUUGUAAACUGCUUUUGUAUGGGGAUAAAGUUAGGGACGUGUCCCUAUUUGCAGGUACCAUACGAAUAAGGACCGGCUAAUUCCGUG